rnacentral:rRNA from 1 species
GACGAACGCUGGCGGCGUGCUUAACACAUGCAAGUCGAACGGAAAGGCCCAGCUUUUGUUGGGUGCUCGAGUGGCGAACGGGUGAGUAACACGUGAGUAACCUGCCCUUGACUUUGGGAUAACUCCGGGAAACUGGGGCUAAUACCGGAUAGGAGCUCCUGCUGCAUGGUGGGGGGGGGAAAGUUUCGGCGGUUGGGGAUGGACUCGCGGCUUCUCAGCUUGUGGGGGGGGUUGUGGCUUACCAAGGCUUUGACGGGUAGCCGGCGUGAGGGGGUGACCGGCCACAUUGGGACUGAGAUGCCGCCGAGACUCCUACGGGGGGCAGCAGUGGGGAAUUGUGCACUAUGGGCGGAAGCCUGAUGCAGCAGCGCCGCGUGCGGGAUGAGGGCCUUCGUGUUGUAAACCGCUUUCGCCUGUGACGAAGUGUGAGUGACGGUAAUGGGUAAAGAAGCACCGGCUAACUACGUG